UAGCACUGGGGGCGUCCGCACGGACUGAGAGUGAACUCCUUGAACCUGAUCUGGCUCACACCAGCGUAGGAAAGUGAUUGU
rnacentral:ncRNA from 1 species